AGCGAGAGUGAAGGGAGGGAGCUGGAGGAGAUGCUGUGAUAGGUCAGGAUAUCAGGGCAUGCAGGUGGCAUGGACCAGGGGCAAGGCUUGGCUUGGCUUUGCUUUGAGAGAAGAGGAAGUCAUUGUCAGAUGAGCAGAGGCGUGAGUCAGCCUGAUGAGUUUGCAAGAUGGCUGUGGUCGAUGUCACCUUGAGAAUAGGCUUCCGCCGAGGAAGGACAAACAUCGGGGCCUGGAUGAGUCAGUUUAAGAGUCUGAGUAGCCCAGUCUUCUGUACAUUGAUGGGCUCAUGCUUCCCUUCAUGAAGACAUAGCAAAUGAGUAGCCUGUAAUUGCUUCCAUCCAUGAAGAUACAUACCUUUAAUUGUCGUGUAGACACAGAGAAAAAUAUAAUUUGAACUUCAUUUAUCCCAUGGUUUUUCUUGUUAGGGACUCUUCCCAGGAUGACGGAGAUAUCAUAAUUAUAAUUCUCACUAAAGCCUGAUAUAAACAAGUGAACAGUUAGUAAGCGUUCAUUUCUAUACAAGAAGCUAAGUCCUCUUCAUUCAUGGCCUCCAUGCCGCCUGUGUGUGAUGGUGGGGGGGGGGGGUCACACCACAAUCUUUCUCCCACCACCCAGCGGAGGACAGAGAGGCUCCGAGUGUUUCGGUGAAGGCUACAAAAGAGCUUCACUCUGAGCUUCAGCAGGUGACCUGGCUGAGGGAGACCUCAGCGGGUGACGGCGAGGAAUGCUGGGGUCCCAAGACCCCAAGACAGGGAGCUGUUGGGAGGACAUUAGAACCAAUUCUCAACCCCGGGGGUUGUGACCCACAGGUUGAGAACCACUGCAUUGCAGCAGGUACUACCCAGCUAGGGAGUGACAAAUCCCAGAAUCCCCCUCCCCAUCCUAUGGACUUUCAAUUGCUUCACUUCCUUGUCAUUAUUGUCCCUUGUGAUUCAAGUCAUGGAAAAAGUCACCACGGGAGUUCUCUGAUCAAGGACAGCUCUUUCUUAUAUUUUCCAUCCUCCAGUUGGUGUUUAGCAACAAUGUUGAAGUUUGGGACUGCUACGGAAACAGCUGUUGUGAAUGUUUAUACACAAGUCUUUUGCUGGCAGAUCUCUUCAUUUCUCUGGAUAUAAUUCUCAGCUUCACGAGGACACAAAUCAAAAUAACGGAUGGCUGGGCCGCUUUAAUCUCCGCUUCUCACCCCUUCCCCUUUGAACUUGGUCACUGUCAUGUUCCUAAUCUCUGGAGAUUCCGCCUCGAUCCCUUUCAAGAGCCAUCGGCCCCAUCUCUUUGGUUUGGUCUCCUGGAUGUGGCAUAAAUAUUUCUGUCCCUUUG
rnacentral:lncRNA from 1 species